UAGGGAAUCUUCCGCAAUGGACGAAAGUCUGACGGAGCAACGCCGCGUGAGUGAAGAAGGAUUUCGGUUCGUAAAACUCUGUUGUUAGGGAAGAAAAAAUGUAUAGUAACUAUAUACAAAAGAGACGGUACCUAACCAGAAAGCCACGGCUAACUACGUGCCAGCAGCCGCGGUAAUACGUAGGUGGCAAGCGUUGUCCGGAAUUAUUGGGCGUAAAGCGCGCGCAGGUGGUUUAGAAAGUCUGAUGUGAAAGCCCACGUCUCAACCGUGGAGGGUCAUUGGAAACUAAUAAACUUGAGUGCAGGAGAGAAAAGUGGAAUUCCUAGUGUAGCGGUGAAAUGCGUAGAGAUUAGGAGGAACACCGGUGGCGAAAGCGGCUUUUUGGCCUGCAACUGACACUGAGGCGCGAAAGCGUGGGGAGCAAAAAGG
rnacentral:rRNA from 1 species